rnacentral:tRNA from 8 species
GCGGAUGUAGCUCAAUGGUAGAGUUUCUGGCUUCCAACCAGAAUGUUGCGAGUUCGAGUCUCGUCAUCCGCUCCA